CUCAUCUCCAAUAAACCACCAGAAAACCGGACGUGGCGCUGUGGCUCUAGCGGUAGAGCGCUCACCUUGAGCUAAUGAGCAUAGGGACAGCGCCCAGACCCAGAGUUCAAGCCCCACGAC